rnacentral:rRNA from 1 species
GCGAGCGUUAAUCGGAAUUACUGGGCGUAAAGCGCAUGCAGGUGGUUUGUUAAGUCAGAUGUGAAAGCCCCGGGGCUCAACCUCGGAAUUGCAUUUGAAACUGGCAGACUAGAGUACUGUAGAGGGGGGUAGAAUUUCAGGUGUAGCGGUGAAAAUGCGUAGAGAUCUGAAGGAAUACCGGUGGCGAAGGCGGCCCCCCUGGACAGAUACUGACACUCAGAUGCGAAAGCGUGGGGAGCAAACAGGAUUAGAUACCCUGGUAG